rnacentral:rRNA from 1 species
AAUGAACGCUGGCGGCAGGCCUAACACAUGCAAGUCGAACGGAUCCUUCGGGAUUAGUGGCGGACGGGUGAGUAACGCGUGGGAACAUACCCUUUGGUACGGAAUAGCCUCGGGAAACUGGGAGUAAUACCGUAUGUGGUCGAGAGACGAAAGAUUUAUCGCCAAAGGAUUGGCCCGCGUAGGAUUAGCUAGUUGGUGAGGUAAAGGCUCACCAAGGCAACGAUCCUUAGCUGGUCUGAGAGGAUGAUCAGCCACACUGGGACUGAGACACGGCCCAGACUCCUACGGGAGGCAGCAGUGGGGAAUAUUGGACAAUGGGCGAAAGCCUGAUCCAGCAAUGCCGCGUGAGUGAUGAAGGCCUUAGGGUUGUAAAGCUCUUUUACCCGGGAUGAUAAUGACAGUACCGGGAGAAUAAGCCCCGGCUAACUCCGUG